UACGUAGGGUGCAAGCGUUGUCCGGAAUUAUUGGGCGUAAAGAGCUCGUAGGCGGUUUGUUGCGUCGGCUGUGAAAUCCCGAGGCUCAACCUCGGGUCUGCAGUCGAUACGAGCAAACUAGAGUGUUGCAGGGGAGACUGGAAUUCCUGGUGUAGCGGUGAAAUGCGUAGAGAUCGUGAGGAAGACCAGUGGCGAAGGCGGGUCUCUGGACAGUUCCUGACACUGAGGCACGAAGGCCAGGGGAGCAAACGGG
rnacentral:rRNA from 1 species